UUUUAGUUAGCCCAUGCUUGAAAUUUUGAAUUGGUUGUGUAUUUUGUGAUUUUCCAUUGAAGAGACCUUGUUUUUUUUUUUUGUUUGAUGAUGGAAAAUAAAAAUAUGUUGUUAGAUUAUCAUGUUUAAUUAAGUGAUUUUUAGUAAAAAUGCCUAUUUGGGAUUAAAUUGUGAAUUUUGUAAAUUGAGGGGUCAAAAUAUGAAAUAAAUGAAAGAAAUGGGCUGCUAGGGACCUUAGUGAAAUUCGGCCAAGCAUGGGUGUAAUACCCCGAAAAUCUUU
rnacentral:lncRNA from 1 species